UACGAAGGGGGCUAGCGUUGCUCGGAAUCAUUGGGCGUAAAGGGCGCGUAGGCGGCUUGAUAAGGUUGCGGUGAAAGCCCGGGGCUCAACCCCGGGUCGGCCGUGGCAACUGUCGAGCUGGAGCACUGUAGAGGCAGGUGGAAUUCCGGGUGUAGCGGUGGAAUGCGCAGAUAUCAGGAGGAACACCAAUAGCGAAGGCAGCUCGCUGGGACGUUACUGACGCUAAGGCGCGAAAGCGUGGGGAGCGAACAGG
rnacentral:rRNA from 1 species